rnacentral:rRNA from 1 species
UACGGGGGGAGCGAGCGUUGUUCGGAUUUACUGGGCGUAAAGCGUGCGUAGGUGGUUUCCCAAGUCAGAAGUGAAAGCCCAGGGCUUAACCCUGGAACUGCUUUUGAAACUGGGUCACUAGAAUCUGGGAGAGGCAAGCGGAAUUCCGAGUGUAGAGGUGAAAUUCGUAGAUAUUCGGAGGAACACCAAUGGCGAAGGCAGCUUGCUGGAACAGUAUUGACACUGAGGCACGAAAGCGUGGGGAGCAAACAGG